rnacentral:rRNA from 1 species
UACAGGAGCCUCAAGCGUUAGGCGGAAUCACUGGGCUUAAAGCGCGUGUAGGCGGACCCUUAAGUGCCUUGUGAAAUCCCACGGACUCAACCGUGGAACUGCUGGGCAUACGUGGGGGUCUUGGGUCACUCGAGGGGCAAGCUGGAACGAAGCGGUGGAGCGGUGGAAAUGACGUAGAUAUCGCUUGGAACGGACCAAAGGUCGAAGGACAGGUUGGCUGGG